UCUUGGCCUGUGGUUUCCCAAAAGAAGCAUCAGGAAGUUCUUUUCACAGCUACCUUGGCCUCUGUUUCAUAUUUCUCCUUCCCUUUGAGCCCAGUAAAGAUACCAGGGUCCCAGCAUUCAUGCACAUUGAGAAUGGCAGGUGCUGGAAUUACAGAGAUGCACUAGCCAUGCUCAGCUUCACAGGGUCCUGAGGAUCUAACUCAGGGAAUCCUUUGUGCCAAGCAGAACUGUACCAGAUGAGGACCCUGAAAGAGCUCCUUCAGAGCGGGGCUGUGCUGGAAUGAGGAGCUGCGCUGCAUAGAAGCCUCAGCUGGCCUCUUGCUCCAAACUGGAGUGUUGUUGAGACCCCACCUCAAGCCCCUGACUGCAUUAUCUCCUGACAACCAGGAUUUGGAAGAAGUAUUUGUGGUUAUGAAUCGGUCCAUUUUGAUGACUCUGGAAGAGAUGUCUGCGUGGAUAUAAUGUAAUGACACAAUCUCUCCUUUGCUUAGAUGGAGGCAAUCAUAGGCCAAGCAAGAUCUUGGAUGGGUCUCUACCCGUCAUCAUGGCAAAGUCAACCUCAGGCCAUCACUCAAGGAACUGAAAUGGUGAACUAAUGAGUGCAGUUUCAGCAUCUACACAUGGUCAUAUAGUGCUGGCUGUGCAGCUCAGUGGGUAGAGGGUCAGCCUGGCAUUCGAGAGACCCCCGAGUUCAGUCCCGAGGACUAUCUAAAACAAGGCGGUGCAGGUACACAGGCCUGCAAUCUCAGCUCUUCCAGAGGUGGAAGCUGGAUGGUAAAGGAAUUCAGGUUCACCUGGUCUCUAAAUAAUAAAAGGAAACUGUGAUCUAAAUAUGAUAAUUUACUAUGUAGCAAUAGAAUGUGAGUAUUGGUGUCUUCUAUCUGACAAAUUGGAUUAGGUGCAUAUUUUAUUUUAUCUUUAAAUUUGAGACAGGGACUGGAGAGAUGGUGUAGCCAUUGAGUGUACAGGUAUGAGCUGCUCUUCCAGAGGACUGCAGUUUGGUUUACAGCUCACAGCAGCCUGAACGCCAGGUCCAGAGGGACAUGAGGUUUCUGACCCCUGAAGGUGCCUGUGCUCAUGUGCACAUAGUCUGCACCCCCAUCACAUAUAUACAUAAAUAAAUUGAUAUAGAAGACCAAGACUGAUGAACUGAGUGGAUCCCUGGGGCCCACAUGGUGGAAGGAGAAUGCUGAGUCUCACAGCUGUUCUCUGACCUCUGUGUUAAUGCUAUGGCAACACA
ensembl:lncRNA